GUGAGGAAUAUUGGUCAAUGGACGGAAGUCUGAACCAGCCAUGCCGCGUGCAGGAAUAAGGUCCUAUGGAUUGUAAACUGCUUUUAUUCGGGAAUAAACCUCUUUACGUGUAGGGAGCUGAAGGUACCGAAGGAAUAAGCACCGGCUAACUCCGUGCCAGCAGCCGCGGUAAUACGGAGGGUGCAAGCGUUAUCCGGAAUCAUUGGGUUUAAAGGGUCCGCAGGCGGGCUAUCAAGUCAGAGGUGAAAUCCCACAGCUUAACUGUGGAACUGCCUUUGAAACUGAUGGUCUUGAAUUAAGUGGGCGUUGGCGGAAUAUGACAUGUAGCGGUGAAAUGCAUAGAUAUGUCAUGGAACACCGAAAGCGAAGGCAGCUAACGAUACUUAUAUUGACGCUCAUGGACGAAAGCGUGGGUAGCGAACAGGAUUAGAACCCGUGUAGUCC
rnacentral:rRNA from 1 species